rnacentral:rRNA from 1 species
CCCAGACUCCUACGGGAGGCAGCAGUGGGGAAUAUUGGGCAAUGGGCGCAAGCCUGACCCAGCAACGCCGCGUGAAGGAAGAAGGCUUUCGGGUUGUAAACUUCUUUUAUCAGGGACGAAGCAAGUGACGGUACCUGAUGAAUAAGCCACGGCUAACUACGUGCCAGCAGCCGCGGUAAUACGUAGGUGGCAAGCGUUAUCCGGAUUUACUGGGUGUAAAGGGCGUGUAGGCGGGGAAGCAAGUCAGAUGUGAAAACCACGGGCUCAACCUGUGGCCUGCAUUUGAAACUGUUGGUCUUGAGUAUAGGAGAGGCAGGCGGAAUUCCUAGUGUAGCGGUGAAAUGCGUAGAUAUUAGGAGGAACACCAGUGGCGAAGGCGGCCUGCUGGACGACAACUGACGGUGAGGCGCGAAAGCGUGGGGAGCAAACAGGAUUAGAUACCCCCGUAUGA